AUAUUGUGGACCUCAGGGACAUCCUGAGGAUCAAAAGAAACCUAAAAAUCCGAAACCAACGGAACAUUGCCUAUGGCCAAAACAGAGGCGUGGAGAACAUCAGAAGCUGUGAUGCCCCACAGGACCUGAGGGAUGUUCUUACUGCACGGCGCAGGGGCUGCAAUGGGCAUAAUAUUGUGGACCUCAGGGACAUCCUGAGGAUCAAAAGAAACCUCAAAAUCCGAAACCAACGGAACAUUGCCUAUGGCCGAAACAGAGGCGUGGAGAACAUCAGAAGCUGUGAUGCCCCACAGGACCUGAGGGAUGUCCUAACUGCACGGCGCAGGGGCCGCAAUGGGCAUUAUAUUGCGGACCUCAGGGACAUCCUGAGGAUCAAAAGAAACCUAAAAAUCCGAAACCAACGGAACAUUGCCUAUGGCCGAAACAGAGGCGUGGAGAACAUCAGAAGCUGUGAUGCCCCACAGGACCUGAGGGAUGUCCUAACUGCACGGCGCAGGGGCCGCAAUGGG